GGGCCCGCACAAGUGGUGGAGCAUGUGGUUUAAUUCGAUGCAACGCGAAGAACCUUACCAACCCUUGAAAUCUAGCGAAGUUCACAGAGAUGAGAAUGUGCCUUCGGGAACGCUAUGACAGGUGUUGCAUGGCUGUCGUCAGCUCGUGUCGUGAGAUGUAUGGUUAAGUCCAGUAACGAGCGCAACCCCUAUCCUUAUUUGCCAGCGCGUUAAGGCGGGAACUAUAGGGAGACUGCCGGUGAAAACCCGGAGGAAGGCGGGACGAGGUCAAGUCAUCAUGGCCCCUUAUGGGUUGGGCUACACACGGUGGCUACAAUGGGAAGUACAGAGGGACGCUAAAGCGCGAGCUGGAGCCAAACCCCUUAAACCGUGGCUCAG
rnacentral:rRNA from 1 species